UGGGCUUGACAUGCUAGGAUUAUCCUCGUGAAAGCGAGGUAGGCCCCGCAAGGGGUACAACUAGUACAGGUGCUGCAUGGCUGUCGUCAGCUCGUGUCGUGAGAUGUCGGGUUAAGUCCCUUAACGAGCGAAACCUUUGCCCUUAGUUACCACCGGGUCAUGCCGGGGACUCUAAGGGGACUGCCGGUGUCAAACCGGAGGAAGGUGGAGAUGACGUCAAGUCCUCAUGGCCUUUAUGCCCAGGGCCACA
rnacentral:rRNA from 1 species